CCCAAACCCGUUUAGAAUAAAGUCAAACCUACGAGUUUUGUGUUAAAAUUCUCACUCCCAACUUUGUAAUGGAUUUUAAGUUGAUCGUGUUGUUAUUGCUUAUUUCAGCUCUCUGAUUUCGGUCUUGCUAAAUGGGCUACACCAACCGGACUGCAAAUAACGUCUACUAAUGUUGCUGGCACAUUCCGUUAUUUGGCUCCUGAGUAUUUUACGCACGGAAAAGUUACAGAGAAAAUUGAUGUGUAUGCAUUUUGUGUUGUGCUUCUUGAGCUUCUUACCGGAAGGAAGCCGAUAAGCAAUGGACAUCUAAAGGGUGAUGAGAGUUUGGUUAUGUGGGCAAAGCCAGUUCUGAAUAGCGAGAAAUUUUCAAGAUUGUUGGACCCCAUUUUGGGUGUUGACUAUGAUGUUGACCAAAUGGAGUGCAUGGCUCUUGCUGUUAUGCUUUGUAUCAAACGUGUACCUAGGGCUCGGCCCCAAAUCACCAUUAUUCUCAAACUGCUUAAAGGUGAAGUAGAGGUGACAAAAUGGGCCCGGCAAGAAGUCGA